GGGCCUGUAGCUCAGGGGUAGAGCGCUCGCUUUGCAUCGACCAUCCGAUGGUAUGCGAGAGGCCUAGGGUUCAAAUCCCUACCGGUCCA